UACGGGGGGGGCAAGCGUUGUUCGGAAUUACGGGGCGUAAAGGGCGCGUAGGCGGCCUUCUAAGUCAGACGUGAAAUCCCCCGGCUUAACCUGGGAACUGCGUCUGAUACUGGGAGGCUUGAGUAUGGGAGAGGGAUGUAGAAUUCCAGGUGUAGCGGUGAAAUGCGUAGAUAUCUGGAGGAAUACCGGUGGCGAAGGCGGCAUCCUGGACCAUUACUGACGCUGAGGCGCGAAAGCUAGGGGAGCAAACGGG
rnacentral:rRNA from 1 species